AUGGAGCACCUCUGUCCCCACUCCCCGAUUUUGAACUCCUGCUCCACCAGCUCCGGGAAUGGAGUUGUGGAGGGGAGGAAAUCCGAACAGGCCUUUCAUUUUGUAGCUGGUAUCAUAAGAAACCUGCUGAUAGCAUACAAUACACCAGCACCCUCGGUCAAAAGUGAAGGCCUGCCUGUGUAUGCAUGUAAAGCAUUUUUUUCCGAUAAAGGACGAUUUUAUUAUCUCAAAAUGUAG
rnacentral:rRNA from 1 species